rnacentral:tRNA from 1 species
GUCGCCGCGGGCGGGGCGAACGACCUGACCGUGGAGCGCGGGCACGGGAGCGGCACGAUCACCGUCGCCGGUACGACACCGGUCGGCGGCCC